CUUUCAGGCACUGCCAGCAGUGAUGAGCGGGGUGAGGGUGGCUGGCGCGGCCCAGUGCUAUUCUGCCACAGCCAACGGCUGCAUUUCCUGAGCAAACGCUAGAAGCAAGUACAGUCCUAGGUGCUGGGGAUACAGUGGGGCAGAAUGCAGAGGUCUUCAAUCUCCUGUGGCCUCCCUUCUAGCAGGGGACUUCCAAGAAACAAGCAACAAAAAAGAGACAAUGUCACUGCAGCCUUGAACACCUGGGCUCAAGGGAUCCUUCCACUUCGGCUUCCCAAGUAGCUGGGACUACAGGUACGCGCCACCACACCCAGCUAAUUUUUUUAUUUUUUGUAGAUGUGGGGUCUCGUUAUGUUGUCCAGGCUGGUCUUGAAUUCCUGGCCUCCAGUGACUCUCCUGCCUCAGCCUCCCAAAGAGUGGGGAUCACAGGCAUGAGCCACCGUGCCUGGCUGGCUUUGACUUUUUUUCUUUCUUUUUUUUUUUUUUUUUUUGAGACGGAGUCUUGCACUGUCGCCCAGGCUGGAGUGCAGUGGCGCCAUCUCGGCUCACUGCAAGCUCUGCCUCCUGGGUUCACGCCAUUCUCCUGCCUCAGCCUCCCGAGUAGCUGGGACUACAGGCGCCCGCCACCACACCCGGCUAAUUUUUUUGUACUUUUAGUAGAGAUGGGGUUUCACCGUGUUAGCCAGGAUGGUUUCGAUCUCCUGACCUCGUGAUCCGCCCGCCUUGGCCUCCCAAAAGUGCUGGGAUUACAGGUGUGAGCCACCGCACCCGGCCCAGCUUUGACUUUUUAUGCUGCGUCCUUUUUCCUUUUAACA
rnacentral:lncRNA from 1 species